UGCCUCAGUAACGGCGAGUGAAGCGGCAAGAGCUCAAAUUUGAAAUCUGGCUCCUUCGGGGCCCGAGUUGUAAUUUGGAGAGGAUGCUUCGGGCGUGGCCCCCGUCUAAGUGCCCUGGAACGGGCCGUCAUAGAGGGUGAGAAUCCCGUCUGGGAUGGGUGGUCAUGCCCGUGUGAAGCUCCUUCGAAGAGUCGAGUUGUUUGGGAAUGCAGCUCUAAGAGGGUGGUAAAUUUCAUCUAAAGCUAAAUAUUGGCCGGAGACCGAUAGCGCACAAGUAGAGUGAUCGAAAGAUGAAAAGCACUUUGAAAAGAGAGUUAAACAGCACGUGAAAUUGUUGAAAGGGAAGCAUUGGCACCCAGACUCGCCCGGGAGGGCUCAGCCGGCACUUGUGCCGGUGCACUCCCCCCCGGGCGGGCCAGCGUCGGUUUGGGCGGUCGGUCAAAGGCCCCGGGAAUGUAGCACCCUCCGGGGUGCCUUAUAGCCCGAGGCGCCAUGCGACCUGCCCGGACCGAGGAACGCGCUUCGGCUCGGACGCUGGCGUAAUGGGUGUCAAUGGCCCGUCUUGAAACACGGACCAAGGAGUCUAACAUCUAUGCGAGUGUUCGGGUGUCAAACCCGUCCGCGCAGUGAAAGCGAACGGAGGUGGGAACCCCUCGGGGUGCACCAUCGACCGAUCCUGAUGUCUUCGGAUGGAUUUGAGUAAGAGCAUAGCUGUUGGGACCCGAAAGAUGGUGAACUAUGCCUGAAUAGGGCGAAGCCAGAGGAAACUCUGGUGGAGGCUCGCAGCGGUUCUGACGUGCAAAUCGAUCGUCAAAUUUGGGUAUAGGGGCGAAAGACUAAUCGA
rnacentral:rRNA from 1 species